GUCCGUAUAGUGUAGUGGUUUAUCACGCUUGUCUUACAAAUAUCUCGGUAUUAUAGGACACAAGAGGUCCCAGGUUCGAUCCCUGGUGUGGACA
rfam:Metarhizium anisopliae BRIP 53293 unplaced genomic scaffold Scaffold_13, whole genome shotgun sequence.